rnacentral:lncRNA from 1 species
ACUCCGUUGCAGGCUGCAGUGAAAGCAGACUUCCUUGAUGAGUCGGGGAAGUGGAUGAUAUCCCCGAGACCCUGGUGGCUAACCCUGGCAUGCUGUAGUAUCUUUUCAAGAUGAUUGCCUUCAACAAGGGAGAAAAAAAAUUCUUCCCUGUGGAAUUCUGAGCACAAGGAAGACUGGCUGAGGGGAGAGUCCGUAGGGGGAGAGGCCUUGCAGGGCAUGCCCACCGGCUUCCUGACCUGCCUGCCCCCACUGGCUCUGCCCUGGGCAACUCUGCCUGCUCCAGCCCUGCAGCCGAAAGGGCCACAGGGAUUCACCCAAGAACU